AUUGAACGCUGGCGGCAUGCCUUACACAUGCAAGUCGAACGGCAGCGGACCUUCGGGUGCCGGCGAGUGGCGAACGGGUGAGUAAUAUAUCGGAACGUACCUUUCAGUGGGGGAUAACGUAGCGAAAGUUACGCUAAUACCGCGUAUUCUGUGAGCAGGAAAGCAGGGGAUCGCAAGACCUUGCGCUGAUUGAGCGGCCGAUAUCAGAUUAGCUAGUUGGUGAGGUAAAGGCUCACCAAGGCGACGAUCUGUAGCGGGUCUGAGAGGAUGAUCCGCCACACUGGAACUGAGACACGGUCCAGACUCCUACGGGAGGCAGCAGUGGGGAAUUUUGGACAAUGGGCGCAAGCCUGAUCCAGCCAUGCCGCGUGAGUGAAGAAGG
rnacentral:rRNA from 1 species